rnacentral:sRNA from 1 species
UAUAAUAGUUAAAACUUUCAACAACGGAUCUCUUGGUUCUGGCAUCGAUGAAGAACGCAGCGAAAUGCGAUAAGUAAUGUGAAUUGCAGAAUUCAGUGAAUCAUCGAAUCUUUGAACGCACAUUGCGCCCCUUGGUAUUCCGAGGGGCAUGCCCGUUCGAGCGUCAUCAACACUAUCAAGCCUGGCUUGGUAUUGGGCCCUGCCUGUAACACGGCUGGCUUUAAAAUCAGUGGCGGUGCCGCCUGGCUCUAAGCGUAGUAACUUUUCUCGCUAUUGUGCCCGGCGGUUGCUUGCCAACAACCCCUAAUUCAAUAGGUUUGACCUCGGAUCGGGUAGGGAUACCCGCUGAACUUAA